UACGUAGGGGGCGAGCGUUUGUCCGGAGUUACUGGGCGUAAAGCGCACGCAGGCGGUGCUGCGCGUUUGGGGUUACAGCUCCCGGCUCAACCGGGAGAGCGCCUCGAAGACGGCAGCACUUGAGGGCCAGAGAGGGACACGGAACUCCGGGUGGAGUGGUGAAAUGCGUAGAUAUCCGGAAGAACACCAAAGGCGAAGGCAGUGUCCUGGCUGGUACCUGACGCUCAGGUGGCGAAAAGCUA
rnacentral:rRNA from 1 species